rnacentral:rRNA from 1 species
GACGAACGCUGGCGGCGUGCUUAACACAUGCAAGUCGAACGGAAAGGCCCCCACCUUGGUGGGGGUGCUCGAGUGGCGAACGGGUGAGUAACACGUGGGUGAUCUGCCCUGUACUUCGGGAUAAGCUUGGGAAACUGGGUCUAAUACCGGAUAGGACCAUGGUUUAGUGUCUCAUGGUGGAAAAAUUAUUGUUUUGGUGCAGGAUGAGCUCGCGGCCUAUCAGCUUGUUGGUGGGGUAAUGGCCUACCAAGGCGUCGACGGGUAGCCGGCCUGAGAGGGUGGACGGCCACAUUGGGACUGAGAUACGGCCCAGACUCCUACGGGAGGCAGCAGUGGGGAAUAUUGCACAAUGGGCGCAAGCCUGAUGCAGCGACGCCGCGUGGGGGAUGACGGCCUUCGGGUUGUAAACUCCUUUCGUUAGGGACGAAGCCAUA